CAAGUGACCACUUGGCACAGAAACCAGCAAACUGUGACUCAUCAGUUUUUUGACUCUGCUGUUCUUGCUGAGUCACGCCACGUUGGUAGUCCUGAAGCUCAAACACAGCAGGAUCAGUGCUGAUUAUCACACUUGGGCCUUUGCCUGCUCUGUCUGCCCACUGCAGAUGGACACUCAUCUUUAUCUCUGAGGGCCUCCACCCAGCUACUGCACUGCUCCAUCCAGGAAAAAAUUUCCACUUGCUUCUUGCCCAACACUUUCCAGAAACCUGACUGCUCCCUGUGAACUAAGAGUGUCUCAUUUGGCAAAUGGAUUUUGUGCUGCAUCACACAGACAAUUAAAUCACUAUCAUCUCAUGGCUGAAGGGCAAAGAAAGCAAGUUUUCCUAGAAGCACUAGAAAUUAGAUUCCAGAAAAAUGUGGGCUAGUCUUCACUGUGAAUGAAGGAGCAUUGGUUUCCACACUUCUGCUGCCACAUGGCUCAGUGUGCAUCAAUUUGUGCAUUUGCAGGUGCAUCUACACAAGCAAAGCACAGGGCUUUACCAAAUCACCAAAACAACAUCUUUUAACAUGAGAAAUCUAAAAUCAAUUCCUCCAUUGUAAAUUCAGCACUCCCUGACCCAGCAGUGUCCUAAAGCACAGCAACAUUGGAUUGCCAGCAGAGCUCUGUAAAAAAUUUCUGGCUUGAUUCAGCUGUUCAGCUGCUGCUCCCUGGCACUCUCCCUUUACAGUGACCUCACUGCUGAGAGGAGGCAGCUUUCAAACACUGGCCAUUAAUCACAAAACAAGCCUGGAGUGUGAGCCUUCUGCAUUGUCUCAUGCAUCCAAGGCACAUCCCACUGUCAGAUGGAAUGGAGACAGUCCUUACCCUUAGUGCAAACACCACGUUGAACAGAAUCAUGGAUUUCAAACACAUUAUCCAGCCCCUCUAUUCUCUUUGUAGCAGAGAGCUCCAUUCCUAAGGCAGAUUCAAACUCUCCAGUGAGAAGAAACAGCUGGAGCUGAGACAAGCAAGUGGAAUUUGGACAGCCAGAGCAGCUCCAAAGGGAGCACGUGUCACCACAAGAUGGAGCACAAAAUGCAGAGGACAUUCCCACCUCCCCUGUGGCUCCCUGCUCAACACCCACCCCAUCCCCAGAGCAAACAGCUGGAACCUGCCAGGCCCAACAAAAGUUGGUCUCUACCCUAAAUAUGUGCAGCACCUGAGCCAGGGCAAGCACAGAGCAGCAUCUGCCCUUCCCCACAGGUUCCAAGCACCAGCACUGAACUGCUCAGGACUGAACUCCAAAAUCUGACUGCUUUCACUCAGGAGGCUCUACAUUUAGGAAACUAAGAGGUGAUACAUAUUUUGGGAUUAUUUUUGUCCUAAAGUGAAAAUUACAUUCUGUCAGAAAGGCAGUGAUGGGAGAGUGGUAAAGGCAGUUUACUGUGUUAAUCUGUUCUGGAGUUACAGGUUCCAGGACAUCUUGUGAAUUUCCAAGUGUAAGGACUGAUCCUGGUCCUUCCUUAAAAUCAGAGAAACAACCACCACUAACAUCAGUUGGGAUGCAGGCUAGAUUUCAUAUCAACUCAUGUCCAGAAAAAAAGAAGAAGGCUGAGCUGGGAAAGAAAAAGCUGAAGGAAUUUGAAGAGUUCAGAACAUUGCUACAUAAAAAGCAAUCUGGCACACAGGAUUAAAUGUUUGUGCUCUUGUAACUCCUGAAUUUCAUCAGGGUAAGAAUUUGCUGAGCUGUCCUGUGGAUUAAUUUACUGCAGUAUGAACUCUGAGGAAACUCAAAGCAGAGGCUGCUGGGUUACUCCAGACACUGCCUGAGCUCCAUGGAAAAGCAGCUCCAUCUGGUUCCUCCUAACUGCAGGAGGGUCCCAGAUUUACACUGACACAAACCAGCAGAGAUGGCUGCCACAUCUCGAAGAUUCUGGACUCUAGAAAGUUCUGGGGUGCCUCCUAGGGUGAUGAGACACACCCAAAAAGAAGUUCCUUCAGAAGUAACAAAAAAGUGUUUACAGCUCCUUAUAACUUUAUUUGCCCAGAUGCAAUUUUAUUUAGACAAACUGAAGUGACAUUUCAUGCAAUUAGGAUUAAAAUGAUUGGAAAGAAUGUACAAUAAUAAGUGGUGAAAAAAAUGCAAAUACAAAUUUUCAGCCUCAUUUAGAGCACAUUUAGGAAGCUGAACCUUUCAGAUGAGAUGAAUAAAAGAAAGAAAAAUUAUCUGAGGGAGAACAGGCCACUGCUGUCAGAGCCUUGAGGGCACCACCUUAGAUGGCCCUGGCCAGGACCUGUUCCCACACAACUUCCCCCCAAGUCCAUGACCUGGGAGCCCCAUUUAAGCUCAGCCCAGGGCCUGGAGCUGUGCUGUGUCCAGGAUGGACCUUGGAUCUGUGUCUGUUUCCUGGUUUAGUACAUCCCACCCUUGUCCUGUCCCCUUCUGCUCCUGGCUGGGGUCCCAAUACAGACCCUGGGCCUGGUUCACCACUUGCCUUGUCUGGGGCUGCUGAUGGAUUUGCACAGCUUGGGCACACUUGAAUCCUGUCUUCAAGACAGUUUAACCUUUCAGGACUGAGUCUUGGUGAUCCUUCAUGACAUUUCCUGCAGACUCACAACUGAGUUCCCAAAGUAGCAUCUUUUGAUGCUUUAGGGCAGCUCCUCGCUGGGAUUAAAGCAGUCUGGUCCUCUAAAUAUCAUGCAGCAGUUACCAACAAGCUGUUUCCACCUCUAAUUAUAGCCAGAAAGCAGGACAGAAUUGGCAAGCAGACUUAUUCCCCUGAAAAAGGAAUGACUUAGCAAAUUCAAUGAAAAAUGAGACCAAAGAAGUUCAGUGACAGGGAUCAGUGUUGGAUUCAGAAAUUACCAAAACCUAGUUCAUUCCUACAGUUGAGCAGGAAGAAGGAACAGGACAGAGAAUAUCAGGAACACAGAAGCAGGUGAAUUCUUUGCAGGAUUUAAGCAGGGCCUUUUGCAUAGCCCAGACAGCACACUGCUCUCAUUCUAAGCACCUAAAAUACAGGCCAUAGAGGAAGGUCUCAAUGCAAACAGCAGCCUGACUUGGUCCACAAGAAAAUUCUAGAUCUCUUUCAACAUCCUACAUAUUCCAUCUAAGUCUUGUGGAUCAUCUUCAGCCUCAGGAAAAGUUAAAAGCCAAACAAGGCUGACGCAGCUUUUAGCAUUUGUGAAGGGUUUUGGUGGUGUUUUUUUAACUGCCACACUAAUUAGAGGUGCUAAAAGCUAACUUGCAGUAACUAAAAUAGUGAGAAGCAGCUUUUUGAGUUGGAGUGCCCAGUUUUACUUCUCUUUACUCACACUGCUUCCCUACAGUAACCAGAAGAGUUUCUGUGAUCACUGACAGCUCCCUCAGUUUGCCACUCACUCCACUGACCCAGAAUAAGUAAAAGACAGCUUGGAGCAUCAGGAAGUAAAAGCAGGAUCAAAAGCCAACAUGCCCAUUCUGAACUACAGGUUUCCUCACUAAAACCAGGCAGUUUGUGAGGAAGGCAGGUCCCCAGAGGGGAUCUCAUACCUACCUGCCCAAGGGCAUGCUGGAGCAAGGUGGGAUGGCCAACAAAGCGAACAUUAUCAAUCUUCAAUUCAAACUUUUUGCCACACAUAUCUGACUUGGUAGCCAAAAUUGUUGCCAGGAUGACAUCUGAAAACCUUGAAGGGCAGAAACAGAAGUUAUUACAGUUUUCAAAAAGCACACUCCCAAAACAGUCCUCCAAAUACAGAUAUAUUUAACUCCAAAGUUUUUAAGGCGUUGUAAAUUGUGACUGGAUUGCUGUACCUGGAGUACCACCAAUUAUGUAAAAUUAAGGACCCCUCAAUUACAUCCCUCAGAUCAUCACAAUUAUAAAACAGGAAGCGUUCACAACAAAGACUGCAGGGUCAUGCUCAUUUAAUUACAUGCUCAGCAAAAUACAUUGAAAAGAUUAGAUGCAGUUUGCUUAAAUAUAAAAAGAGCUGGAGUUAGCCAUUGCCUGGAUUUAGCUGCAGGUUAAUGAACUUACUAAGCAAUUACAUAUUGACACAGCCUGUCACUCAAGCACAACAGAGAUCUUUAAGCCACCCAGUAUGGCAGAGGGGAAGGCAAAAAAGAGCUGAUUCAAUUAAAAGAAACACAGCCAAUGCUUGUCCUUCCUUUCCCAAAGCUCAUCAGUGACAUUCCAACUGCCUCAUUUAACAGACCUCAACCUGUGCUCAGCAGACCACUGGCACCUUCCAAGAGCUGAGCCCUGGCCUCACCUGGGCUUUCUCAUUUGAUAAAUCACAUUCAUGACAGGCCAGGCCCUUCCCAGUGCCCAGGCAUGGGGUUACUGAAUUGCUCUGGACUGGUGAGGCCAAGGCAGCAGCUCUGAGACAGGAGGGCAAGAACCCACAGGGGAUGAAAACCAGCUAAAAAUCCCUUGUGACAAGGGAGGAACUCCACAACUGCUCUCUCUGAUGGCCUCAGAGCAUUGGACUGGUCUCUACCAACACUUGUUUUCCUCAAGGUGUCCCCUGGGACAGAAAAGCCCAAACCCACAGGGAAGAGGACUCAGCUGCUAGAGUAAAUUUGUUGCUCUAAAAUAGGAGCAGUGCAAGGCUUGUUAUUAACAAGUUCUCUCCUCAUCUGUUUUAUAGAAGCUCCUACUUGACCAAAUGAAUUUCAGACCACUUUCUGAUGAGAGCUGGUUUUUAAGAAUGAAAUGUUUAUUGCAUUUGUGUAUUUACAGCCAGGGAUGUGUGCCCCUGCCAGACCAUCCCCCUAGAGCAGGCAGGUAGCCCAGAUAACCCAGUAUCACUCAGAGAGGAGGGCAGGCAUGGGUGUGUGCUGUGCUCACCUUAUCUCUUGGCCACAAGUGAGCCCUCCAUGCCCAGAGAAGCAAUUAAUGUAGCUUAGUCCUGCUUCCCUCUGAGUCAUGGAGCACUACAGAAAUUAAGACAAAUGCACUCAAGGACACAGGGGGAAUUCCUUUUAUUUACAAAUACUGGAGAUGAAGGACCACACAGGUCCAAACUGCCAAAGCCCCUGGUGCUUGUACAAACAGGUCACUCUGACCACAGCACUCUGCUUAUGUUUGGUUUAUGGAAGGAGCAGCUGUGUACAAACUUCCAAAUCCCUGGCUGCUCUGCUCCACACUCCAAGCUAAGGGCAAGCAGAGACUAGGCAGAGACUCCUGGGGCCACUGAGCCCAUGCUCCUCAGCCACUGGGCUGCACAACUUGGGAAGUCUGGGAGCAAAGGGCAAAGCGCUGGAACAGGACCUGGACUGACAGUCCCUGGAGAUCACAUUCAAAAUAGGAAAAAAAAGUCACUAUGACAGCAGUGAGCUUCUCCUCCUCCUUUUGCCCUGCUCAGCAGCUCGUUAAUAGGCUCAUCAUGGAGCCAGGAAGAUGGGAACAGCAGUGCAUCCAAAAGGAGCAUAUGUUUUGGGGGGUGAAGGGAGAAGGAGGGCAAACUAGAAAAUGUCGGCUUCCUGGUAAGAAAUGAGUUACCCUUCCCUCCUCCAGCCUUGGCAAAGGAUACCUGGGAGCUGAUCAACUGAUCAUUCUGAUAACUUCCACAAGGAAUUACACCAGCAGAUCCUUUAACAGAUAAAUGUAGUGCUAAAGGGGAAAGAAAGAAGACUGGCAGGCAUCUCCAUAAACAUUGGGAGGGGGUGUAUUCCUGGUAAAACACUCAGAAACUGAAGGAUGUUUUGGAAAAGUGCAAAUGAUGAAAGGCUGAGAAGAAGCCAACAGAGACACUUGACAAGCAAUUUGUUUUGACAGUGACAGUCUUCUGAAUACCUUUUUGUUGCAUGGCCACCAUCAACACACCUCAAACACUUUUGCUGCUCAACUUGCUUUCAGCAGGAAAUAAAAUAUGUACUCUGCAGACCCAAACACAGCCCCAUUGAGCAGAAAUGAAUACAAGCAAACACACCCCAGGAACCUGGGGAAGGAUUAUCAUGAAUAAGCUGCCAUUGUCUAUAAAAAAAACCAAAAAGCAUAACAAUGAUCAGGAAAUUGAGCCUGGAGGCUAAAAGAAAUCCAAUUAUCUGUACAAAUAUGCUACAUGGAAAUGGAGUUAAGGCACCUAAACUGAUCUGACUUUGUCCCUCCUGAGAGCAUUAAGAAAGGUCAGUUCCAAAGUAAUUGAUCUGGGUUCCAAUAGCUAUGGGGAAAAAACAACAGUAAAUCUUACCUAGGACACAAUUGGUACUAGAUUACUAAUAAAUUAAAGACAGGCAUCCAAUAUAAAAAAGGAUGACUCCAACCCUCUUAGGAACUACUGCAGCUACAAGAUAAAUCUGAAAUAACCUUUGUACUGAGCAUGCAGUGAGAAAACCCCAACCCUACAACAUUAUCAAACUUGCCAUAUACCACCAACUUCCACAGCCUCACUUUGUGCCACCAAAACCACCCAUGGGUGCUCCUGACAUGCAGGGAUUGAAAAGAAACUUUUUCCAACUCUUCCUCGAUGAAGUCUUCCAAAAAUAAUACAAAAUCAUUUCAUAAAUUACUUUAUUGUGGACAAUUUCAGACAGAAAAUCAUCACCACCAGAAAACAGACUGGACUUUGUGCUGAUGAACUCUCUCCAUGUGCACUGAGUGUCCAGGAAGGGAACUGCUGCACUGCAGAAGGAUCUUACAGGGAUGGAGCUGCCACUGAAGGAAUGGCUCUCACAAAACCAGUUGCUCCAUUCCUGGUCUCUAUAACCUGAUCUUCAAUGAAAACACACACACUGAAGCAAAAAUUUAUAAUAUUGGUGAGGAAAAAAAUCAAUGAUGAUAUUGGUUCCAUGGCAUAUGAAGGUUAAACUCCUUUCCUCUCCCAGCUUACAAAGCAGGUGCAUCUCCCUCCCUCCAGGGGAUCUGCACUUCUCUGUCUCCACUCUCCCCUUGGAAUCUCCUCUAUUCCAAGGCACCAACCUCUGUUACUCCUAAAAUUGCCUGACACAAACCAAAGUUGGAGCAAUCCAUUGCACAGUUUUGAAGAUGCCUUUUUGUCUUCUGCUGGAAGAAGCAUCUGUGUACUUAAAACUUGCAUAUUUUUUCAACCUCAUCAGUCAGUGAAAAAUACAAACUUUGCCAACAAAGCUUCUCUUGUCUAAUUUGAAUUAACAGCACUCAGUAUAUAAAGAGCAUCAGCAUGUCCUUCUACUAGCAGGUACCACUGAAGAGGACACAUUUAACUGCUACAGGAGUUGUCUGGGGUGCAGGGGAUUUAAGAGUGAUGCUUACAUUGCUGCUGGGAAGAAGCUUUCUGUAAUCAAACUGCAAACAAACACAGUUUUGAAAGGGAUUUUGAAUUUCAGAAAACAGAUGCCCAGCCAUAUAAGCAGCACCAGCAGUGUUCUAAACUCCAAUACCCAGCAUCUAGAAUAAAUAAACUUUCAGAGCAACAGAAAUGCUGCUGCUCUUCUAUUUCCCUUUCCAUAUGCAUGGGAGAUAGAUUUUUCAGACAGAUCUGAAAAAAAAUCUUUUAUUAGUAACAAAUACCUGAGCAGGAGAUUAAGCAUGAACUUUCACGCCUGGUGUCCUGGACAUCACUACAAUGAAACAAUCUAAAUAUUUGUUUAGUGUAGGUUACAUGCCAGCACAUUCAAUGUAAAAAUCUGCUUCAGGAAAACACCAGCAGUUUUCUCACCUGACCAUCAUCUGAAAUGAUAAAAUCUUUUCCUACAUCACUGCAGUAACCACAUAUUGUCUCACACUAACUCAGCAACACAGGCAACAUACAAUAAACACAGCCACACAUGAAGGGCUUUGUCCAACCUGCCAAAUCAGUGUCAGACAGAAAUUGGUAUCAUUCCAACACCUUCUUAAUCUACCUAGGGAACUUCUAGAGCCAGGGCUUUGAACACUGAGCUCUCCUGCUGUCCACAGCCCAGCCUGACAAGCCAGUCACCAGUUCCCAAAGAUACACAUGGUUUGAUCCCCCUGCAGCUGUGCCCUGUCCAUGCUGCACUCACUGCACACACAACCAAAGGUUGAGUUUGAAGGUUUCAAAGGCAUCAGAAUGGCAAGAGAUACAAAUUACCUCAAGCAAAAUGUGUUUUCAUAAGAUCCCAGUCCUGGAAAAUGAAAUUAACUGAUGGAUAUUUACAGUCAUGUGGGUGAUUUUAAUUUCAGUUAAACCAUUCUCUGUCAUAAAGUUAACAACAAUCUUACAUUGACAAAGUGAUGAUUACUUCUUUAGUACUCUUAUAAAAGAGAAGAACAGCAAAUACCUCUUUUUUAUUAAUACUGGAAAUAAAAAUACAUAUCAGAAAAAAGAUCUGCUAGUGAACUGUGGGCCAACAGACAAAAAAACCUUUUUCUCUCCCAGAUUUCUCUCAUAUCUAGUAGUGAUAAAUUUAGAACUAUGCAGCAGAUUUCAAAUGUUCAGCAAAACUAAUAAGAGAGUCCAUCCAUAAAUAAACACAUACUGAACACCACACUGCCUAUUUUCAGUGCAUUUGUUACCCUCUGAUUUCCUGUACUUAAAAAACUCUCUUCAAGUGUCAGUUUCCUUUUGAGCCACUGUGUCACUCCACUGACACAACAGCAGCUCUGUCUGGAGAAACAAAAUUAGUUAUUCAUUAGUGCACAGCAAUUCCAAUAGACCAUUACAUGAGCUAGGGAAGAAGUUGAGGCAACUGAAAAAUAUAUCCAGUUAGGAGUAGGCAGGUAAAGAAAAGUGGGAUUUUGCCAAAGGAUUAAUACUCCUAGUUUUGAAAGGGCAAUAUUGCCUUUCUAACAAGCAAGAAUAGCUGAUCUUGCCCAGGAAACAACAGAUUCAGCAGCAUUCCCUGGUGAGACAGUCCUCUUUACCAAGCACUAAGUUGCUCAGAACUCGAUAUUAAAGAAUUUUUUGCCAGGUUGUUGUUUAUAGAGUCCAGGAGAAUGUGCCUAGGAGCUAGGAGGCAAGAGAGCAGGAGGCUGCCUCGCCUCCAUUUCAACCUCUCAGGCAGAAGAAAUGUUUUCCCUCCUACCUGGAGUCCCCAUCUUGAUCUUCUGUGCUGUCACCAGAGCCAUUCACAGCAUAUCGACUCCUUGGUUUGUCUGAAGCAAAGAAUAAAGAUAAAUUUA